GAUGAACGCUGGCGGCGUGCCUAAUACAUGCAAGUCGAGCGAACAGACGAGGAGCUUGCUCCUUUGACGUUAGCGGCAGACGGGUGAGUAACACGUGGGUAACCUACCUAUAAGACUGGGAUAACUUCGGGAAACCGGAGCUAAUACCGGAUAAUAUUUCGAACCGCAUGGUUCGAUAGUGAAAGAUGGCUCUGCUAUCACUUAUAGAUGGACCUGCGCCGUAUUAGCUAGUUGGUAAGGUAACGGCUUACCAAGGCAACGAUACGUAGCCGACCUGAGAGGGUGAUCGGCCACACUGGAACUGAGACACGGUCCAGACUCCUACGGGAGGCAGCAGUAGGGAAUCUUCCGCAAUGGGCGAAAGCCUGACGGAGCAACGCCGCGUGAGUGAUGAAGGUCUUCGGAUCGUAAAACUCUGUUAUUAGGGAAGAACAAAAGUGUAAGUAACUGUGCACGUCUUGACGGUACCUAAUCAGAAAGCCACGGCUAACUACGUG
rnacentral:rRNA from 1 species